rnacentral:rRNA from 1 species
UACGUAGGGUGCAAGCAUUAUCCGGAGUGACUGGGCGUAAAGAGUUGCGUAGGUGGUUUGUUAAGUGAAUAGUGAAAUCUGGGGGCUCAACCUCACAGACUAUUAUUCAAACUGGCAAACUCGAGAAUGGUAGAGGUAACUGGAAUUUCUAGUGUAGGAGUGAAAUCCGUAGAUAUUAGAAGGAACACCAAUGGCGUAGGCAGGUUACUGGACCAUUUCUGACACUGAGGCACGAAAGCGUGGGGAGCGAACCGG